UACGUAGGGUGCAAGCGUUGUCCGGAAUUAUUGGGCGUAAAGAGCUCGUAGGCGGUCUGUCGCGUCGGACGUGAAAAUCCAGGGCUCAACCCAGGAACUGCGUCCGAUACUGGAAGGCUUGAAUCCGGGAGAGGGAUGCGGAAUUCCAAGUGUAGCGGUGAAAUGCGUAGAUAUCUGGAGGAACACCGGUGGCGAAGGCGGCAUCCUGGACCGGCAUUGACGCUGAGGCGCGAAAGCCAGGGGAGCAAACGGG
rnacentral:rRNA from 1 species